GGGCUCAUAGCUCAGCCUGGCUAGAGCGACCGGCUCUUAACCGGUAGGUCGGGGGUUCAAAUCCCUCUGGGCCCA
rnacentral:tRNA from 1 species